rnacentral:rRNA from 1 species
CCUACGGGUGGCUGCAGUGGGGAAUAUUGCACAAUGGGCGCAAGCCUGAUGCAGCCAUGCCGCGUGUGUGAAGAAGGCCUUCGGGUUGUAAAGCACUUUCAGCGGGGAGGAAGGCGGUGAGGUUAAUAACCUCAUCGAUUGACGUUACCCGCAGAAGAAGCACCGGCUAACUCCGUGCCAGCAGCCGCGGUAAUACGGAGGGUGCAAGCGCUAAUCGGAAUUACUGGGCGUAAAGCGCACGCAGGCGGUCUGUCAAGUCGGAUGUGAAAUCCCCGGGCUCAACCUGGGAACUGCAUUCGAAACUGGCAGGCUAGAGUCUUGUAGAGGGGGGUAGAAUUCCAGGUGUAGCGGUGAAAUGCGUAGAGAUCUGGAGGAAUACCGGUGGCGAAGGCGGCCCCCUGGACAAAGACUGACGCUCAGGUGCGAAAGCGUGGGGAGCAAACAGGAUUAGAUACCCGUGUAGUC